CCUACGGGCGGCUGCAGUAAGGAAUAUUGGUCAAUGGAGGAAACUCUGAACCAGCCAUCCCGCGUGAAGGAUGAAGGGGCUCUGCCUUGUAAACUUCUUUUGUCUGGGGCGAAAAAGCUCGAUUUAUCGAGAACUGACGGUACCAGAAGAAUAAGCACCGGCUAACUCCGUUCCAGCAGACGCGGUAAUACGGAGGGUGCAGGCGUUAUCCUGAAUCACUGGGGUGUAGGGGUCUUAAGGCGGCAGUGGUGAAAGGCUGGGGCUUAACCAUGGAAUUGCCAUUGAUACUGCAGAGCUUGAACGAGGUUGAGGUUGGCGGAAUGUGACAUGUAGCGGUGAAAUGCUUAGAUAUGUCAUGGAACACCGAUUGCGAAGGCAGCUGACUGGACCUAUAUUGACGCUGAGGCACGAAAGCGUGGGGAGCGAACAGGAUUAGAUACCCGUGUAGUC
rnacentral:rRNA from 1 species